UACGGAGGGUGCGAGCGUUGUCCGGAAUCAUUGGGCGUAAAGGGCGCGUAGGUGGCCCGGUCAGUCUUUGGUGAAAGCGCGGGGCUCAACCCUGCGUCGGCCAGGGAUACUGCCGCGGCUCGAGCACUGUAGAGGCAGGCGGAAUUCCGGGUGUAGCGGUGGAAUGCGUAGAGAUCCGGAAGAACACCGGUGGCGAAGGCAGCCCCCUGGGAUAACACUGACGCUCAUGCACGAAAGCGUGGGGAGCGAACAGG
rnacentral:rRNA from 1 species